AUCUUCCACAAUGGGCUAAAGCCUGAUGGAGCAACGCCGCGUGAGUGACGAAGGUUUUCGGCUCGUAAAACUCUGUUGUAAGGGACGAACAAGUCCAGUAGUAACUGGCUGUACCUUGACGUUACCUUAUUAGAAAGCCACGGCUAACUACGUGCCAGCAGCCGCAGUAAUACGUAGGUGACAAGCGUUGUCCGGAAUUCUUGGGCGUAACGCGCGCGCAGGCGGUCCUUUAAGUCUGAUGUGAAAGCCCACGGCUCAACCGUGGAGGGUCAAUGGAAACUGGGGGACUUGAGUGCAGAAGAGGAAAGUGGAAUUCCAAGUGUAGCGGUGAAAUGCGUAGAGAUUUGGAGGAACACCAGUGGCGAAGGCGACUUUCUGGUCUGUAACUGACGCUGAGGCGCGAAAGCGUGGGGAGCAAACA
rnacentral:rRNA from 1 species